CCUACGUGAUGCAGCAGUGGGGAAUAUUGCACAAUGGGGGAAACCCUGAUGCAGCGACGCCGCGUGAGUGAAGACGUACUUCGUUAUGUAAAGCUCUAUCAGCAGGGAAGAAAAUGACGGUACCUGAGUACGAAGCCCCGGCUAACUACGUGCCAGCAGCCGCGGUAAUACGUAGGGGGCAAGCGUUAUCCGGAUUUACUGGGUGUAAAGGGAGCGUAGACGGCAGUGCAAGUCUGGAGGGAAAGGCGGGGGCUCAACCCCCGGACUGCUCUGGAAACUGUACGGCUGGAGUGCAGGAGAGGUAAGUGGAAUUCCUAGUGUAGCGGUGAAAUGCGUAGAUAUUAGGAGGAACACCAGUGGCGAAGGCGGCUUACUGGACUGUAACUGACGUUGAGGCUCGAAAGCGUGGGGAGCAAACAGGAUUAGAUACCCUUGUAGUC
rnacentral:rRNA from 1 species